UACAAGCAAGGUGGUAAACGUUAAG
rnacentral:misc_RNA from 1 species